UCUAGACCUCGAGAUAUGGACUGAACACUGAAUAGUAUCUGGGUUGCAGGGCAGAUUUCGACUUCUCUUUUGAUGCUAAGAUUUGAACUCUAAAACGGCGGAGUUGAGUCUUGGACUCUUCAUGAAUGUUUUAGGCCUAUGUCUUAGCUUUCCAUC
rfam:Populus trichocarpa scaffold_1_contig_180, whole genome shotgun sequence.